CCCUUCCCUUCAAACCCUAGCUAGCUAGCUAUCACCUGCUGCUCUCCCUCACAUACGCUUGCACUCCCAGACUCCCAGAAAACCAUUCCAGGCCGAUCGAUCCAGGUAUGCUCAUGCUGCACGCGCGCAUCAAUGGCUGUAUGCAGUAUGCGUCGAUCUCCGUUGCCGCGCGCCCUAUACGUUGCUUUGCUUCAAGGCCAUCUCUCGAGAUCGGCUGCUAGUGCUAGCUAAGGGAAGAAAGAAAACAAGGACGAAAUGAAAUCGCAGCUGCGGUAUUGGCUCGGCUCACUCAGGUCAUCGUGUUGCAGAAGCAUAUGCUUCUCGGUAUAAUCUGAUUGAGCCGCGCCAAUAUCUCAGUGCCAUUUCAUCAGUAUACACCGGUCGAUCACCGUCAUCACCAUCCAUCUCUCUCUCUCUCUCUCUCUCUCUCUCUCUCUCUCUCUCUCUCUCUCUCUCUCUCUCUCGUCAUAUGGAUCAUAGUAUAUGCAGUUCAGUUGGUGUUUUACGGAUAUUUGUGGCUUUUUGAAUUUUCGUGCGUCGAGUUUCUGUCGGCUAGGGAAAUAAUGAAGAACGACGCCAGGGCUGAGGAGCUGGGAUCAGUUAGAAACUUUGAAGGCACUGCAUGCUUAAUUUUCUUUACGUUUUCGGUGAAUCAGGGACGAGCUAGCAGACAUAAAUAUAUAGAAUCUUAAUCUAUCGGGGAAAUCUCAUAAUUUUUGUUCAAGUCAUUCAGAUGGUGUACGUACAAGCAUAUCAUAAUGUCAGCUGUGCUUGUGAGAGCGUGCCUUUCUUCCCAUGUUUUUGACUGUAGCAAUCGAUUGUAGAUGUAUGUAGCAGGUGAUGUCAAGCUGAUACAUCCAAAAUGCAGAUCCUAUUUGCUGAUGCCUAUUUUUCUGUACCAGCGCCCAUGCAUGUGACGUUGCCUAGCUAGUAUACUGUACUUGUCAGUAGAUUAUGGUACAAAAACAUGGAUAGACCUAAGGUUAAUUAGGGGUGACGAAGAAAUCAGGAGUUAAAAACUCGCUUGCUGGUUUAUAGUUCUUGUGGAUGAAGGUAAUUUUAUGUACAUGCUGCUAAUGGUAUAUCCUGAGAGAAAGUAACAUGCGCAUGCAUGUGCCAAUGCUUCACAAAUCUGAUGCAUUUACAGAGGGGAUCAUCACCCAUCAUGGCGUGUAUGCAUACAAAUAUCCCCCACGUAUAUUAAUACCACGGUACUGAUCACUGCAGCUUCCAGAUUCCAUAAAUGCAACAGACAUUUAUACACACAAACACACACACAGAGAGAGAGUAAUGUCUCCAUGCUGUAUUUAAUUCAUAUCAGCCCAAUAAUUUGAAAUGGAGUAAGCUCAUUACUUCGGCUUCUAUCUGCCAUGACCGCUCAUGCAUAUCCUCUCAGACUCAGUGACUCACGGUACAAUUUCUUCAGAAGACGGUAGCCUGAAGUCCAAAACCUUGCAAAUUACUCAGAUCAGGUUAUUUUCCGUUGUACGCACUCGCUUCGUACGUGGUGUACGCUACAACAAGCAGAGUACCAACCGCUAUUCAAGGCGGUGUGUACGCUGUUGGAGCAAGUGGCUACGGAGGUUUUUACCCAACAUGGAUGGCAGCAUAAUCUCCGGCUCGGUCCACCAUCUCUUUCGACAUAGGCAUAGUGUCGGUCUAUGGACUCUACUGUUGCCGAAUUGUCGAUCUUUUAUAUUUCUGUUUAUCAGACUACUGGUGUUUGGCUGUGUGCAUCCUAGUUAUGCAGAUGCCGGGUGAUACUCUUAAUGCUUUGUAUCACUUUGAUGCUACAUUUUGAGAUAAUAAAAGCGCCCUUUAUCGAAAAAA